rnacentral:rRNA from 1 species
UAGAAGGAUAAGCUAACCGUACUGUUGGUUAUGUACGGGCAAGCAUUGAGGCAGUUCCUAUAGGAAAAUCCGUAGGAAUAAUGCUGGGAUGUGAUGCGGAGCGAAAUACGUCGCGAAGUAGCUGAUUUCACACUGUCGAGAAAAGUCUCUAUCGAGGUUAAAGGUGCCUGUACCGCGAACCGACACAGGUGGGUGAGGAGAGUAUCCUAAGGCCAGCCAGAGAACUGUUGUUAAGGAACUCGGCAAAAUGACCCCGUAACUUCGGGAGAAGGGGUGCCUGUCUAUGACAGGCCGCAGAGAAUAGGCCCAAGCGACUGUUUACCAAAAACACAGGUUUCUGCUAAGUCGCAAGACGAUGUAUAGGAGCUGACGCCUGCCCGGUGCUGGAAGGUUAAGGGGAUCUGUUAGAGCAAUCGAAGCAGUGAACUUAAGCCCCAGUAAACGGCGGCCGUAACGAUAACGGUCCUAAGGUAGCGAAAUUCCUUGUCGGGUAAGUUCCGACCCGCACGAAAGGCGUAACGAUUUGGGCACUGUCUCAACAACAGACUGGGUGAAAUUGUAAUACCGGUGAAGAUGCCGGUUACCUGCGACAGGACGGAAAGACCCCAUGGAGCUUUACUGUAGCUUGACAUUGGGUCUUGGUACUACAUGUACAGGAUAGGUGGGAGACUAUGAAGCCGGAACGCCAGUUUCGGUGGAGUCAUCCUUGGGAUACCACCCUUGUAGUACUGGGACUCUAACCAUAGGCCAUGAAUCUGGUCUUGGGACACUGUCAGGUGGGCAGUUUGACUGGGGCGGUCGCCUCCUAAAAAGUAACGGAGGCGCUCAAAGGUUCUCUCAGUACGGUCGGAAAUCGUACGUAGAGUGUAAAGGCACAAGAGAGCUUGAUUGCAAGACAUACAGGUCGAGCAAGGACGAAAGUCGGACUUAGUGAUCCGGUGGUUCCGCAUGGAAGGGCCAUCGCUCAACGGAUAAAAGCUACCCUGGGGAUAACAGGCUUAUCUCCCCCAAGAGUCCACAUCGACGGGGAGGUUUGGCACCUCGAUGUCGGCUCAUCACAUCCUGGGGCUGUAGUAGGUCCCAAGGGUUGGGCUGUUCGCCCAUUAAAGUGGUACGCGAGCUGGGUUCAGAACGUCGUGAGACAGUUCGGUCCCUAUCCGUCGCAGGCGUAGGAAAUUCGAGGAGACCUGUCCUUAGUACGAGAGGACCGGGAUGGACGCACCGCUGGUGUACCAGUUGUUCUGCCAAGGGCAUAGCUGGGUAGCUAAGUGCGGAAUGGAUAAGCGCUGAAAGCAUCUAAGCGCGAAGCCGACUUCAAGAUAAGAUUUCCCACCGUAAGGGUAAGACCCCAGGAAGACUACCUGGUUGAUAGGUCGGAGGUGGAAGUGCAGUAAUGUAUGUAGCUUACCGAUACUAAUAGGUCGAGGACUUGACCUA